AGCGAGACAAAGAACCCACCGGAAGGAACCAAUUCUGGGCACAAUGGAGGUUCCUGACCAAGGGGAGUAAAGGAGAUGGAAUGAAGCUUGUGUGCUGUACUUCAAGUCAUGCAUCCAGUACCAUUUUCCUGCACAUAAAGCGCUAUCUAUUCAUUAAGAUUUCUAGUUGCAGAGCUGGAUCCAUCCAUAAAAAGAACCAUUUUUCUAAUUUAUAGAAAGAUGUCUCAUGGCCUAGAAACAGGCCUUGAGCAAGAGCAAGCCCUGCCUUUCUCAUAUAGAAUAUGUACUGUUUUCUUAUAUAUAGCCUCUUUCUUUAAAUUUGAUAAGAUAAU
rnacentral:lncRNA from 10 species